rnacentral:lncRNA from 1 species
GAUUGUGUCAGGGAUUUGAGAAGUUUCACACAAACCUCAAAGAAAAAAGGAUUCGACAAGGCCACGUUCGAAAUGGGUCUGAAAUAUAAAACAGCGGUAGUGUAGUUUACAUUACAGACAUGAAAAUUUUCAUUUACUGAUAUUAUUACAUAUUCAUACAUAUCGCCGAAUCUUGCUCAAUAGCAGACUGUAGAUGACUGAACAUCCCAUGAUUUAGGCACGCAAAAUAAGCUACUACGGAGUACUAUAUUCCAACCCAUCCACCGUUAGAUGGUCCGUUAGAUUAUUCGCUAUCUUAUCCUAUGGUAACCGAGAGUAUAAUCCCAAAAGGAUACAAACCUCUCGGUUCCAUUCCACGUUGCAUGCCAUCAUCCAUUACUUAGGUACAGGGGAUGCAAGUGGGGCUAGGCGGACCAAACUGCGAGUCGCUCUCAUGGCGUUGCAGUUCCAUCAGGUGUAUGUGGGCACUCGUAGAUGUUUCUGCAUCGCCGGGUGUAUGGUCGGUUAGGAUCCAAGACGCCUGGUUUCAGUGGUUCGUUACCCACCGACGACGACGACUGAUCUGCUAGCGUCCUUCCUGCACAAGAACUCGCCUCACGCACGGUUAAAUUUCUUUAUGAGUUAUUACAACAGCAACAAAGAUGAGACGAGAAAGCACAUGUGACUGUAACCUAUAUACCGGCCUCUGCAGGGACGGCGUGCAUGGCCGAGAUGACAAGGAAGGCCAUCAGGAACACCAUGCACACAAUCUGCCGCUGCUGCUGCUGCUUCGCCAUCACGCCGGUCUCUUCUCCAGCUGAUCGCAGGUAGAUGAAUCUCCAGCCCUCGAUCGGGUGUGCGCUGCGGGAUGUACAAAGGCAGCAAGGUUCUUUGAGCACCAUUAUAUAGAGGUGCCUGCAGUCAGAAGCACCUCCUAAGAUUUCAGUUUUUAUGCUUAUACACCCUCUCUAAUGUUGAAUAUGUUCCAAAUUCAGUUGCACAUGAUAAACGUCGACUUCUUAUGGAGCGAAGAGUGUUUGCUGGCUGGCGCUUGUGGUUUUUUUCUUUCUCAUUGAAGAAGUUUUCCACUUUAAAUCUUGUGUCUCCGCUGUGAUUGAUCUUGUGUUCUUUGCCGUUUAUCCGCCGCCAUUAACAACAUGUAAUUAUUAAGUUGUUCAAGGGGUUUAAGUGAAUUUAGUUUUCUUUUCUUUCUUUAGUACAAAACAUAAACAUGUUUUAGUACUUGAAUGUUACAAAGUACUUUCUCCAUCUAAACCCUUAAACCCUACGUUAGUACCCUAAACAACGGCUAGGAGCUCCAUUCUUCUCGCUUCUUCUUCCCAGUGAAAGUACUUUGUAACGGCUUCUCCAUCUAAAACAGGCUAGCCAUUUCUGGUGCUAACGUAGAAAACUUGAAACGUUCCGGUUCCGAUUCUUGAUCUCCAAAACUCGUUUGGCACUGAUUCUCUCGAUUCUCAAGAGAAACGAAUCUGUUUCAGGUAUCCAAGCGCAGAUAGUCAUGAGGGGAGAAGCUCUUGUAGAAUGCAGUAUCUGCAAGAAGUUUUGUGUUUUAUUCUGCUUAGGCUUUUUUCAUUGGAACCAGUCAGUAAAUACUACCAGUCUGAGAGCUGGGUGCUUUACUUUUUUUUUUCUUUUUUGAUUGAAACUGCCAAACUGGUGCUUCUGCAUUGUUUUCAACUGUGACAGGUACCUAAUUUUCUUGGCCAUUGCCUCCUCCUUUUCAAUUGCUUUCCAGGCCAGGAUAUAUAUACUGAUUUUUUUGCCGGUCCCAUCUUAUCGCUUCGUGGCCGUUAUGGGGGCUUGACUGCCUCCAGUGAAAUCUGUUCCGUAUCCACUACAGUCACAAGUUUGUUAUCAAAGGGAAAACAAAGAAAAAGACACAACUAAUAUGAAAACAAUAGAUAAGACUGACUCCAACAGCGUAUCCAAUACGUGACCCAUAUACUCCAAAUGGGUGGCGCAUAGUGUUUUUGCAGGUAAAAAACACGGUUCAAUGGAGCAGGCAAUCACAUGACCUAUUUUAGGUUGGUUGCGACGCAUAAGGCAAAUAUACACCCUCCCUCCCUCUCUUUGCGUCUCGCAGCACCAGGCCCUCUCCCCUCUCAUGUCCUAUCUAAGGAUCUGGGCAAGAAUCUCCGGCCUCCAGGCCGGCACGCCACGCGAGCAGCCAUGGCCGCCAAUGGAGAGGAGGAUCUCCAUGGCCCACUCCUCAGAGUUCGAGACGAUAGAGGAACAGUCUGGCCGGACUAGGAUGUCCCUCUGCGAGGCCACCGGACUACCGGAGCAGCUGCCCAUGGACGGCGCUGGCGAUGACAUGGCGCUAGCACUUAUACCAAAAUAUUUUAGCUCUUUAAUAUGAGCAUCUCCAACGGUUUUGCAAUUUUCGUUUUGCAAAACAAGGAGUUUGCCAAAUCUUAAAUCAAUAUGCCAAGUCACAAAAUUGAGUGUCUCCAAUGGUUUUGGCAAAAUUGAGUUGGCAAAACCAAAUGGUGGACCCGGUCGUUAUUUUUUCACGCGCUUUUUUGUCUUCGCGCCGUCCACUCCGUCGGCGGCGUGUGUGGAGGUGUUUCUGUCGCGAGGCGGACGACGGCACGUGCUGACUUUGUGUCACGAUCCGGACGACGGCGUGUGUGGAGGGGUUUCUUCGCGAGGCGGACGGCGGCGCGUGGUGAGACUUUGUGUCGCGAAGAGGAGUCGGAGGUCGAUCGGGACUUUGUGUCGCGAUAUGUUGCCAUGGAAGUUUCCCCUAUAUGGUGCGAAGAGGAGUCGGAGACGCGCGGGAGACCGGAAACCGCGCAGGAGGAGAGACCGAUUGGCCUUUGCCAAGUCGUCCGGAGUUUGGCAAAAAUGCCAAGUUUCCUCCCUCAUUUGCCAACUUUGCCAAAAUGCAAAACUCAAAUGCAAAACCAUUGGAUAUCUCAAUUUGAGCUUUUUGGCAAAUUAGUCAAAUACAAACCUCAAUUGCAAAACCGUUAGAGAUGCUCUUAGGUAUAUAUAUAUGGAUAUCUAUAAGUACCAUAUCAAUUACACCAGCCACUUACAUGUCUUUACACACACUUUAUCAUAAAUAACACGAUUGCUUCAAUCGCAGGGAUUAGCAUCCCCAGGAUUUGGGCAAAUAACACAUAUGCACAAUUCAUGUGCACACACAAGACGCCAUGCGGUUCAGCUAGGCUUUUUAUUUUAGGCAUGUAAGCAUGUGCUAUAUGCGCUGGAUCGGACUAGCUGCCUUAUAAGCAAGCAAGGCUUAUGGUGCUCCAUGGCAUUGGUAGACGUUCGUGCAUCCUGGGCGAGUGUAUGGCUCGCCAGCAGGCACAGAAUGCCUGCUGUUUGGGUCCAGGGGGUCAAAUCUUGAAACAGAGGAUGCCUCACGUAGCGCUCGCCCUGCAUUGUAUGCGUACAUGUGUGUUCACGGACAGUUGUAGUUUAAUUGUAACUGCAACUAAUCUGAAAAAUGAGAAUGGGACUACACAAACUCACCUGCCUCCACUGGGACAGCGUGCAUGGCAGAGAGGAUGAUAAAGGCCAUCAGAAACACCAUGCAAACAGCCUGGUGGUGCUGCUGUUUCGCCAUGGAACCCGUCUCCUGAUCGAUGGACGACGAUGGAUCUCCUCCGCUAUGGGGAUAUGUGUAUGCAGACUGC